GACGAACGCUGGCGGCGUGCUUAACACAUGCAAGUCGUACGGUAAGGCCCUUUCGGGGGUACACGAGUGGCGAACGGGUGAGUAACACGUGAGUAACCUGCCCACAACUUUGGGAUAACGCUAGGAAACUGGUGCUAAUACUGGAUAUGUGCUCCUGCUGCAUGGUGGGGGUUGAAAGCUCCGGCGGUUGUGGAUGGACUCGCGGCCUAUCAGCUUGUUGGUGGGGUAGUGGCCUACCAAGGCGGCGACGGGUAGCCGGCCUGAGAGGGUGACCGGCCACAUUGGGACUGAGAUACGGCCCAGACUCCUACGGGAGGCAGCAGUGGGGAAUAUUGCACAAUGGGCGCAAGCCUGAUGCAGCAACGCCGCGGGCGGGAUGACGGCCUUCGGGUUGUAAACCGCUUUCAGCAGGGACGAAGCUUUUUGUGACGGUACCUGCAGAAGAAGCACCGGCUAACUACGUG
rnacentral:rRNA from 1 species